UACGUAGGGUGCGAGCGUUAAUCGGAGUUAUUGGGCGUAAAGCGAGUGUAGACGGUUAUUAAGCCAGAUGUGAAAUACCCGAGCCGUAACUUGGGAGGUGCAUAUGGAACUGGGUAAGCUAGAGUGUGUCAGAGGGAGGUAGAACUCCACGUGUAGCAGUGAAAUGCGUAGAGAUGUGGAAGAAUACCGGAUGGCGAAGGCAGCCUCCUGGGAUAACACUGACGUUGAGGCUCGAAAGCGUGGGGA
rnacentral:rRNA from 1 species